GCCCUGAGUCCCGCCCCCCCACCUGCCCCUUCCUUGGAACCGGCAAGUAAAAAGAUUCUGACGCCUUUACAAAUGGAAGACACACUGCCACUCUGUGAACUCCAGGGCCUAAGUGGAAUGACCAGUCUCUCAGAAUGCUACCUAAAUCUUCUUUAUCCAAGAAGAGAGUAGCCAGAACUCCCUUCCAGCUCCCAAACAUCAUCUCUUCCCUUUGCCAGCGCUUCCAGCAAGGAUGCUCCUGUGAAGAAGCCAGCAGGACCCUCCAUCUCUAAGCCUGCUGCCAAGUCUACAGCAGGGACCCCUCUAGCCAAGACCAAGGCCGAGCCAGCUGCCCCCCAGACCCCUGUGAAAACCCAAGAGCCCCCUGUUGAUCUCUCCAAAGUGGUG
rnacentral:lncRNA from 1 species